AAGAUCUCAGAUCAGCACAAACACCAGCUCCUCAUCUCAUCAUCAUCACAUCACAUCAUGAUGAAGAUUCUGGCUCUCGCUCUGCUGGUGGCGGCUCUGCAGACUCUGUCGUAUGCACAGGCACAAAGUUUAACCACAGUGUCUACAACUACUAGAUCUACUACACUGACCAGCAAUUCUGUACACAACUCCACCAAUGGUCCGCCGGUCCUGGCGGCUCUGAUCCACCUGCUGGUUCUUCCCGUAUUUGUGUUUCUGUGGUGGCUCUGAGAAGAUCUACAGAUUCUGCUCCUCUUCUCUUUUAUUUUGCUGUUUUUACAUGUAGGGUUAACAGCUGGAAUUAUUAUUAGACAUUAAUACUGUUAAUGACAAGAAAUAAAAGAUAUUUCAUACAACUGAAAAACUGGACUGUGACUGACGCUGAUUCUCAAAUGUUAAUCUGAAAACAUGGCUCAUUUACUUCUGUACUUUAUAAGCUGAUCAUAGAGGAUUCAUACAUUAUAACUACUGAAUAAGACUGAAUAAACAAGCAUGAGGAGGAUUGAUGAAGAAACUCUACUGGUUUUAGAGUAAAAUCAGCUUUGCUUAUUGUGAAUAUAUCAGUUCUCCAUUAAAGAUUGAUUGAAAGCUGUAAUUGUUUUAAUAAAGCACAAUAUUUCUCUGUU